CCAAUAGCGUAUAUUAAAGUUGUUGCAGUUAAAAAGCUCGUAGUUGCAUUUCGGGGUUAGUAGGUUGGUCAUGCCUCCGGUAUGUACUGAUCUCACUGAUUCCUCCUUCCUUAUGAACCGUAAUGCCAUUAAUUUGGUGUUGCGGGGAAUUUGGACUGUUACUUUGAAAAAAUUAGAGUGUUUAAAGCAAGCUAACGCUUGAAUACAUUAGCAUGGAAUAAUGAAAUAGGACGUUCGAUCUUAUUUUGUUGGUUUCUAGGAUUGACGUAAUGAUUAAUAGGGAUAGUUGGGGGCAUUAGUAUUCAAUUGUCAGAGGUGAAAUUCUUGGAUUUAUUGAAGACUAACUACUGCGAAAGCAUUUGCCAAGGAUGUUUUCAUUAAUCAAGAACGAAAGUUAGGGGAUCGAAGACGAUCAGAUACCGUCGUAGUCUUAACCAUAAACUAUGCCGACUAGGGAUCGGAUGAUGUUAAUUUUUUAAUGACUCAUUCGGCGCCUUACG
rnacentral:rRNA from 1 species